UACGGAGGGUGCAAGCGUUAUCCGGAUUCACUGGGUUUAAAGGGUGCGUAGGUGGGCAAGUAAGUCAGUGGUGAAAUCUCCGGGCUUAACCCGGAAACUGCCAUUGAUACUAUCAAUCUUGAAUACCGUGGAGGUCAGCGGAAUAUGUCAUGUAGCGGUGAAAUGCUUAGAUAUGACAUAGAACACCAAUUGCGAAGGCAGCUGGCUACACGAAUAUUGACACUGAUGCACGAAAGCGUGGGGAUCAAACAGG
rnacentral:rRNA from 1 species